rnacentral:lncRNA from 10 species
UAAUGGAUUGGUGGAUGUAGCCUGGGUAUACAGCUUCCUAGUACUAGACUCCUACAUCAGAGACAUCCAUUCUCCAACCAUUCACGAGAAGAACUGGCCAGACACCGUAGGCUUUCUCAUUAGGGCAGGAGCUCAGCACAUGGCAUGUCCACACUGAAAGAAUGAGAGGAAAAAAUGAAUGGAAAAUACAGGUGGUAUUGAAGAAAGAGCACUCUUCCUGUGGGGGGUCAGA